GACAACUACGCACUCGCUGCUUAAAACCCAGUAGGGUGCCGUCUGACUGGAGCCGUGCUUAUGCGUCCAGCGUCCCUCGGGACACUCAGGCGUCAUAUCUCAUAAGAUCGUGAUGAAGCUUGUUCGGGGCGGAGUCAUUAAACACUUACCGAAAUCGUUUGUUGUGCGCCCUGACAGUCGGGUUGCAGCAGGCUAAAUUUAAAGACUGAUCUAAGCAUGUAGAGCCGCAGGCAGCGGACUGGCGGACGCGGGUUCAAUUCCCGCCGCCUCCACCA
rnacentral:tmRNA from 1 species